GCGUUGUCCGGAUUUAUUGGGCGUAAAGAGCGUGUAGGCGGCCGCACAGGUCCGUUGUGAAAACUGGAGGCUUAACCUUCAGACGUCGAUGGAAACCGUGCGGCUAGAGUCCGGAAGAGGAGAGUGGAAUUCCUGGUGUAGCGGUGAAAUGCGCAGAUAUCAGGAAGAACACCCGUGGCGAAGGCGGCUCUCUGGGACGGUACUGACGCUGAGACGCGAAAGCGUG
rnacentral:rRNA from 1 species